UUUGAUCCUGGCUCAGGACGAACGCUGGCGGCGUGCUUAACACAUGCAAGUCGAACGCUGAAGCUUGGUGCUUGCACUGGGUGGAUGAGUGGCGAACGGGUGAGUAAUACGUGAGUAACCUGCCCUUGACUCUGGGAUAAGCCUGGGAAACUGGGUCUAAUACUGGAUAUGACCUCCUGUCGCAUGGUGGGGGGUGGAAAGGGUUUGUACUGGUUGUGGAUGGGCUCACGGCCUAUCAGCUUGUUGGUGGGGUAAUGGCCUACCAAGGCGACGACGGGUAGCCGGCCUGAGAGGGUGACCGGCCACACUGGGACUGAGACACGGCCCAGACUCCUACGGGAGGCAGCAGUGGGGAAUAUUGCACAAUGGGCGCAAGCCUGAUGCAGCGACGCCGCGUGAGGGAUGACGGCCUUCGGGUUGUAAACCUCUUUCAGCACGGAAGAAGCGAAAGUGACGGUACGUGCAGAAGAAGCGCCGGCUAACUACGUGCCAGCAGCCGCGGUAAUACGUAGGGCGCAAGCGUUGUCCGGAAUUAUUGGGCGUAAAGAGCUCGUAGGCGGUUUGUCGCGUCUGCUGUGAAAGCCCGGGGCUUAACCCCGGGUGUGCAGUGGGUACGGGCAGACUUGAGUGCAGUAGGGGAGACUGGAACUCCUGGUGUAGCGGUGAAAUGCGCAGAUAUCAGGAAGAACACCGAUGGCGAAGGCAGGNNNNUGGGCUGUUAC
rnacentral:rRNA from 1 species